AUCUAGCUGACCAGUCCCAAAUAGGACGAAACGCGCUUGCUGGAU
rnacentral:hammerhead_ribozyme from 1 species